UAUGGCUAUAUCCCGUUGGAACACCGGUAAUCGUACGAACACCAAAGUUAAGUAACGUCAAGUUUGGUCAGUACUUAGAUGAGUGACCGCUUGGGAACACCAGGUGCUAUA